rnacentral:rRNA from 1 species
AAUGAACGCUGGCGGCAGGCCUAACACAUGCAAGUCGAGCGAGCGGCGGACGGGUGAGUAAUACCUGGGAAACCGCCUGAUGGAGGGGGAAAAAUACUGGAAACGGGAGACAAAUCCGCGUACCAUCAGAAGUGCUCAGUUGGGAUUAGCUAGUAGGGGGGGUAAUGGCUUACCCUGGCAACGAUCCCUAGCUGGCCUGAGAGGAAGACCAGCCACACUGGAACUGAGAAACGGUCCAGACUCCUACGGGAGGCAGAAGUGGGGAAUCUUCCGCAAUGGGCGAAAGCCUGAUGCAGCCACGCCGCGUGAGUGAUGAAGGCCUUCGGGUCGUAAAGCUCUUUCAGCAGGGAGGCGUUACCCACAGAGGAAGCCCCGGCUAACUCCGUGCCAGCCGCCGCGGUAAUUC